GCCUCGGUGGUGUAGUGGUUGCACGCGACCCCACCCCGGUAUGGGUGAAACGCGGGUUCGAUUCCCGUCUGAGGCC